GGAUGUGAGGCUGUCUGGCUGGAACAUCUGUCACCCCAUAGAUUGCCAGAUUGAUUUGGCUGAUCUGGCUGGCUAGCUGGAUGUCCCUUCCUCCCUCUCUGCUACGUGCUUAGUGGGAUAGAGGAAGACCAUUUCCUUGGUAAAAGGAUGUAUGAGUAGCUGCACUCCCAAGCUCUCAGAGUCAUUGGGGAAGGCUUGGUGCAUAUAGCUCAGUGGUAGUAUGUUUGCCUAGCAUGCCCAAAGCCCUGGGUUUGUUCUUCACC
rnacentral:snRNA from 1 species